UGUAUAUAUUUUUCUAUUAGUUCUUUUUCUGGAAGUGGACAUUUCAUAGUUGCUCUUUAAACAAUAUUUCUGUUGCUUUAUGUCAUGUUCUCUUGGUUCUGCUCAUUUCACUCUAUAAUUUCAUUUAGGUUUUUCCAUGUUUGUUUGUUUGUUUCAAAUUAACCUGCUUGUUAUUUCUUACUUUGCAGUAGUAUUCCAACACAAUCAGAUUUCAAAACUUGUCACUUUGUCUUUCAUUUUUGAAGGAGAUUAAUGACACCACAAAUUAAUGAUUUCUUGGCUUUCACAUAAAUCGAAUUUAAGAGAGGCAGAAUUGCACAAAUUUGUCAGCUUCACUCUCUAUUCCAGUCUUCUGUAUCCAGUGGCAAGACAAAAGUCAGAAUGACUGCUGAUGUCCUGGAAUGCAGAGGAUGAUUCUUGGCAUCUUUGAUAUCUUACCAAGCUCUAAGUGCUCCACAGUGCUUACUUCAUCUGUCUUCAUGGCUGUUGGAACAAAUGGUUCUCAUCUGCCUAUUCCUCCAGGAGAAGUCUUCACAUGAUUAAGGUAUGGCACUAAGAUGACAGAGUAGAAUCAGAAAAAGCUUGAACCAUGAUGAGAAUCCUCUCCAAACAACCUAAAAUAACACCUCAAAAUGAAUACUGGUGUGAAAGAACCAUCAAGGAGACAGAAUGAAGCAACUUUCAUGUAAAGAACAAGUUGAAAGAACUUGUUUUGCAUCUAUCCAGUACAUGACUGUGGGCAGCUAUUGUUCAUCCUUUUUGAAGAAACCAGCAAUAUCACAGGGUGAUCAGUGGCAAGACCAAAGCUAGGAUGACUGACUGCAGCCAGGGAUGGGGUGGAUGACCUUGGCAUCUUCCGUGCCUACUUCAGCUGCCUUUGUAACUGUUGGAACAAAUAGUUCUCAUCUGCCUGUUCUCUGGGAGGGAAUCUUUACAUGCUUGGGGUAGACCUCUCCCUAAGUCAGGAAUGGGUAUGAGGCCUCUUGAUUUCCCUGAAACUAGUUCAGACUGCACAGAUGGUUUAAACAAGGUGUGGCUAAUGCACCUGCUACAACUUCUUGGAGCCCCAGGUGAGAGUUGGGUGAUAAAUGGACAUCAAAGGUGAAAAAGCAGCUCUGAAAAGGGCUUGACAAGUCCUUACACCAGAGAGGUGCUACUCCUCCCUGAACAUUCCAUCCACCCCCACCCCUUAGCCCCCACUGAUAGGGAACUGGGAAGUUGAGUCAGGAAGACAAAAUGCUAAUCUAGUCUCAAUCACUCAUUAGCUGUCUGAAUUUUGGCAAGUUAGGCUCUCUGCUUGUCUGAGACAACUGUAAAAUGGGGAUAUAAUAGCAUCUAACUCAUAGGGUUGUUGUGAGGAUAACAGUGCUUAGUACAUGGUAGGUACUAUAUAAAUGUGAGGUAUCUUCUUCUUAUUAUUAUUAUUUAUUAAAUCAUUGUUCUUGGGAAUCAUAACUGAAUUAGUUUUUGAUUUAAGAAAGUGGAUUUAGUUGUAGCAGUCCUACCUCUGUCAGUAAUUACCAAAAUAUUUGGUAUGCCAACAUACCAAAUGUUUACCAUAUCUAUGGCUCAUUUCCACACUGAUAAGUAAGGAAUUUCCAUACUUACUUCAGAGAUACAAUGAAAAAAAUCACAAAUUUUUAUGCAAAAUUCUUUUAAGUAACAAAAAUGAUAUGCAAAUUUAAUAUACUAAAAUCAUUCUUCUCUUGAUGAAUAUAAACUAAAUAAGCAUUCAAAGACAAAAUGCCCAUGUAAGAAAAGGAAAAGGCUCUCAAAAAAAUUAAUGUGUUUUCUCAUGAAUAUUUGAAAGGGUCAAUACAUAAUCAUUCUUCCCAUUUGUACUUAUUUUGGUAUUUUUAAAAGCCAUCUAUGGGCUUUAGCUAGUCAUGUAUAAGCAUGUUAAGAAUUAAUUUUCUGCAUAAUACAAUUUUUUAGAGCAUGGUUGCUAAUAAGAAGGAAGAAAGGGAGAAUUUACUUAUCUAUGUAGAAUAAUCUUAACUCAAAACUGAAUUGAGAGUUCUUAAAAACCUAAGAAACUCAAAGUAUUACAUAAAAUGUGUUUUACUUAACUGCUUUUGUUCAGGACUGAUAUACUGACCAGUGGCCAUUUCAGUUCAAAUUUCAAAUGUUUAAACAGUAACAGGGAGAGCUCCGUGAGUGCCUGAGAGAAUCCUUCGUGCUGUCUCCCUUGGACUCAAAUGUGUUGCCACUCUACGUGGAUGAAAUAUUAUAUUUGAGUGCACUGUUUCUAUUUGGGAGCAGGGCACCAGCUGUCUUCUUGAAUUUCCAUGGCACUUAAUCUAGCUUUAAGCUUGGUUAGCUUUCAAUUCAUAAAGAAGGUAACACUGCCUACAUAGGGUCACAUUUUCAGCAAGGUCCCUGAGGUAAUGAAGUGCAGAAGGGUUGCUAAUAAGGAAAGCUGCACAGUUAAUUCCUGAGUCACGUGCAGAAAGGGACUUUAAAGAAUACUUUUUUCAGUGCAAUGUGAGAAGUGAUCUGUAAAUGAGUUUAAUUUGGGAGCUACAAUGUGUUAUGAUACUGGAGGUUCUGAUGAAGAAAACAUAGGGAAUCUAUCCUAAUAGUAUGAAAUGUUAAAAAAAUAGCUACCACCAUGAUAUCAUCAUUUAAAAUACUUUUAAACUAUCCAUAAAAUAGGAAAGAUGUUUAGUGUUCUCUAAUUUUAUCUGUGUGUUAUUUUUGUAACAUUUUGAUUUAUAUUUAUAUUUGAAAAUAAAAUGUAACUAGCUUUAAUAUUAAAACUUUUU
rnacentral:lncRNA from 1 species